GAUGAAGAACGUAGCGAAAUGCGAUAAGUAAUGUGAAUUGCAGAAUUCAGUGAAUCAUCGAGUCUUUGAACGCACAUUGCGCCCCCUGGUAUUCCGGGGGGCAUGCCUGUCCGAGCGUCAUUGCCGCCCUCAAGCACGGCUUGUGUGUUGGGCCCCCGCCCCCCGGCUUCGGGGGCGGGCCCGAAAGGCAGCGGCGGCACCGCGUCCGGUCCUCGAGCGUAUGGGGCUUCGUCACCCGCUCUGUAGGCCCGGCCGGCGCCCGCCGGCGACCCCAAUCAAUCUUUCCAGGUUGACCUCGGAUCAGGUAGGGAUACCCGCUGAACUUAAGCAUAUCAAUAAGCGGAGGA
rnacentral:misc_RNA from 1 species